AGGCGGUUAACUCAGCGGUAGAGUGCCACCUUCACACGGUGGAAGUCAUUGGUUCAAUUCCAAUACCGUCUA
rnacentral:tRNA from 2 species